AACGAACGCUGGCGGCAUGCCUAACACAUGCAAGUCGAACGAGACCUUCGGGUCUAGUGGCGCACGGGUGCGUAACGCGUGGGAACCUGCCCUUAGGUUCGGAAUAACUCCCCGAAAGGGGUGCUAAUACCGGAUAAUGUCUUCGGACCAAAGAUUUAUCGCCUUUGGAUGGGCCCGCGUUGGAUUAGCUAGUUGGUAGGGUAAAAGCCUACCAAGGCGACGAUCCAUAGCUGGUCUGAGAGGAUGAUCAGCCACACUGGGACUGAGACACGGCCCAGACUCCUACGGGAAGCAGCAGUGGGGUAUAUUGGACAAUGGGCGAAAGCCUGAUCCAGCAAUGCCGCGUGAGUGAUGAAGGACUUAGGGUUGUAAAGCUCUUUUACCCGGGAUGAUAAUGACAGUACCGGGAGAAUAAGCUCCGGCUAACUCCGUG
rnacentral:rRNA from 1 species